CUCGGCAUUCUGAACUAGUGCUGAAGUCGGUUUUGGUGCGUCUAAGAGAAACAGCUGUGACUCGUAUAAACUUUAUUCCUUUAAUCUAGUUUACUAACUUUUGCUCUGGUGAUCUUACAAGAAGUUUUUCUUGUCAUAACUUGAUGGUUGUAAAACUUAUAAGUCAAGGUGAAGUCACAACAUCAAGGUUGUAAAACGUAUGAGUCUAGGUGAAGAGUGCGCUUGUUAACGGUUGCUUUUCAGCGAACUUAUCGUCUCGCCCGAUCCUCCAUUCAAAGGUGUUUAUUGACGACACGUCAACGAAUAGUUUCAUGUGAGUCUACGACAAAUUCGACUAAGCUUCACUGGAACCGGAGCAAUGGUUAGAACGCCCAACGAAUAACCGUUAAACUUUGAAAAAUGUGUUCGUCUUCGAUCAAACUAAACAUGGAGACGAAGAGGCCGUGAGGGAGCUUAUCUUCAAGAUUCUCACUGUAUACCUUUCUUGAGCGGAGAUGUUGAAGGCGAGGACGAUUUUGGCAGUGUUUGGAUUGGCCCUGACUUUCUCCUUCCUGGUCUUGUGCUUCAUGACGUUCGUAGUUCUCCCUAACGAUGUGCUCCGCAAGUCUAGCUUCUACCGCACGCAAGGCCUUCCCCUGGGGCAGCGGAGGAGUGGCUCGGCGUCGUCCAGCAUCAGUCGCCAGAAAAUCAACAGGCUCUUGAAAACCAACAACACCGAGGGAAGGUUCGCCAUCCGACACGUCGUCGAAAUCGACGCAGAGAAGAGGAGGAAGUCCGUGACGUCACAGUUCCCGCUUCUGAGAGUCAGGCCAGGCCACCACAACAGGGUGGGAGACGGUGUCGCGAAGCCGGUGGACAGGAUCCUCUUGGCCAAAACGCUUCGAGAUCAUGGCAUGCAUCCUGAGAGAGCAAGGGCGCUGAUAUCGGCUCUUUUGGACAAGGAUAAAAAAGGCUGACGAUCGCCGUACAUAUAUCUCUUUCUGAGGGCUGACGUUCAUGGACCAAAACGCUAGAAUUUCUCAGUGAAAAAAUUAAUUUCUCGAAUUUGAGGUUUUGUGAUGAAAACAAUUGACGUUUAACUGUAUGGUAAAAGCAACGUAGGAAAGAGCUCUUAAAUCAUGAAAUAACAUUGGCUAAUAAUAUAUCCGUCAACACAUCGAGAAGCAUCAGACCAUAACUAUAUCACAAGAAGAACUUUUUAAAGGCUGGUCGAGAUGUUCGUCUUGUGCUGUGAUACUGAUCUAAGGGACCGCUUUUCAUUGACUUUUUAUUUUGUUAUUUUUUUUUUACCCAAAUGGAGUGUGACUAAAAUUGAAAGUACAAUUGCCAAACGUUAACCCGAACCCGUACAUCUAUAGAUCAGGGGUUCUUAACAGAGGGGUAUCCAUACCCCUUGGGGGUAUGGGACUUGCUCUAUGGAUAUUUUUUAUAUAUUUGAUUUGAAUGUCAUCGUAUACAUGAGUACAUUGUGUAGAUAAAUAACUAUAUAAAACUAUAAAAGCUUUUGAUAUUCUUGUAUGUUCUAUUUCUAGCUAAUCGUACCUAAAGAAUGUAUUAAACUAAGCAUAUUAAAGUUAUAUUGAUAACAAAUAGGACUUGAGUAAAGGGGUAUGGAACUAUACUGGGCAUUUCGUUGGGGGUCUGGAGUCGUCAGAAUGUUAAGAACCCCUGUUCUGGAUUCAUAGUGUUUACGAUUAGGGUUAUACUGUUACUGGAAUUAUAUUGCAACGGCUUUUUUUAAAUAUAAAAUUCUGUUUUA